UCCCGGGCCCGCGCGGCUCAUUCACUCUCUAGCGUCUGCUGAGGUAACGCGGCCCGCACCUGGGCGCGCGCGACUGCCCCAGUGCGCUGGCGCCAACCACGCGGCGGCGGCCCGGCGAGCCACCGGGAAGAAGUCAGACAAAGUCACUCUCAGGGCGCUGUGCAGCGCCACAGCCAGGGGAGGUGUAAGUUCGGGCUCAGUGAAGAAUCUCGGCUGACUUACGCUGCCAUCAGGGGAUAUGAAGGCGGUGGUUUCCUGGAAUAACACGGGCCUAUGAUAGGAAUUCGACGCAAGGAAGAUUUAUGGGAGCACCGAUUUGCAAGGCAUUGUGGGAAAAAGCUGUCUCAACAAAGAGGAACAGAGCACUAAAGCUAAAUAACCCCCAUGAAGGACCAACCCUCUUCCGGUAAGAGCCAGCCUGUCUGACUUGGAUUGUUCUACACUGACCAUGUCUCUCUCCCUCCAAAGAACAUGCAUCUCC
rnacentral:lncRNA from 1 species